CUGAAGGGAAAGUCUGCCUAGAAGCCAAGAGUUGGCCGUGGCUCUGGAGCUGCUGUUGAUGAUGAUACAUCUGAAAUGAGCAUAUUGCAGGUACUGGUCUUAUAAGGCAGGCAACUGAGGAAAGAAUUUCGAACCGUUGGAAGAAACACUUGAGCCUGACCCAAUCUUCACAGCAACUGAAAAGAGAUAUUAUCCUUAUUCCUUUAGAAGAAGAAUUGGAUGAAGUUUGCCUGCAAAUAAAGCGAAGAAGGAACUCAUUCUAUUACAGAUGCCUUUCUUGGGACUGCACAAAAGCAAAGUAUGGAAUAAGUAUAUGGUUCCGUUUUGUCUCCUCUGGUAAGUUUUGUACUUGUUCAGCUAUCAUGAAAAAUUAAAGUCGAUAGGCGAAUCUGAUCGGAUGAGCAUGGGUGUGAAGCAGUCUUCUAAGUUUGAUUGCUAGUUCAUAAGGCGCAUAAAGUAAGCUUAAAAUUUACGAUUUAGUUUCUUGAUUUUUGUGAUGUAUGUUGCCUUUCCUUUACAUUCGUUCUUGUACAGCUGACUGUUUUCUUACAGUCUCACUUCCAUCAUUUGUCUUUUCCAUGCUUUGAUAGAAAAUGCAUCAAGUUCGGUUGUAGAUAGGUUCAACUGACACAACGUCAAAGUUAUGCAGAAUAUUUCUCUGUAAUUUGGGAACAAAGUUCUCGUUAAGGAGAAAGUAUUCGGCACAAUUCAAUAAUAAUAAUCUAGCUUCACUCUAAUUUGAUAGAUUUUACUAUAAUAUGUGGUGAUCUCAUCCUUUCAUUUGCUUUGCAAUCAAGUUGAUGUUCAGACUAUGCUGCAAGUCACAGGUGCAGGAUGCCCCCUCUUGUUUUUGGUGGAAAAGAUUGACGUGAAGUUGACAAAAAAAUUCAUAUAGCAAAUCAAGUAGAAUCAAUUGUAAUUUGAUACUGCACGACUGUGUGCAUAGGAAAAGUUUGACAAGCUUAUUCUUUGAAAGGUAACUAACACGAGUGCUCCAAGAUAACAUCCCAUGUUGUUCUUUAUAGUUUGCUAUUUGUAUAUUUUGGUUGCUGUUAUAUGGAUCAACCAAUCUUCUCCAAAGUUGCUUAGGGAAUCCAUGUGCUUACCAAUUAUAAGCGUUUUCUGUUCAUUUAUAUAUAUAUAUAUAUAUAUAGGGAAGCAAAGGAUACCCACGAUAUGGUAUAUUUACCUUGGCUCCGGUUCAACUGCGGCAUGCUGGUGCUUAUCUGUUUCUCCAAGUCGCUGCUAGAUUCGUCGAACAUCAGCUGGGCAAGGCAUGGUGAGCAAUGAUGGCUGGCCAUGAGGAGCAUAAACCAAAACUGCUGUGCACUUCAUGGAAUGAACACUUAGAGGCCAUAGCUUUAUCUUUUGCGCUGAAUCCGGUGAAAGGGCGUGAGGAGGAGAACUUUAUCUUUGCGCGGAUUACAUUCAGUUGUUGCUUGUUAAGUGCUUGGAAUCAUAUGCUUUCUCUUUUCUUUCUCCCGCUCCGAGCUCUUGACACCAUACCGGAGAAGGAAUAAGGGAAAGAGCUGGAGGAAUCGUGGCGCCUUUUGUUUUUGGUAAAGAAAAGAUGUGAAGGAAUAUAACACCUAUCUCCACCUCUUGUGUGUGGACUGUGGAGUGGUUCUUUUUGUUCUAUGGCGUCGCAGGCCUGGGCUGCAGGGCGAGGGCGAGACCAAGGGACCAACACCAUGCAACA